UCUUAAUUCUAAUUCUUCUCAAAGUGUUGGCCGAAGCCCUCAUCAAGCUGCAGGGUACAAGCCUGCCAAUACAAAAUCUCAGACAGACAGGAUCAAAAUAGAAACUUUCUGUAACUCUACUGAGAAGAUUCCUUGUUCGGUGAUUAUAUCUGGGCCCAGUGGUGGUAUCAUAAACAGGAGGUAGUCUGGUUAUCCAUUUGACAAGAUGAUUAGACAGUACGUGCAGCCAAUGAACAAACGGGAAAUGAAAUGUAUUCAAUGUUGGGAGCUUGAAGAAAGGCCUUCAUCACGGUGUGUUAUGAUGUUGUGACAAAGAAGCCAUGGCGUGACUAUCCCAUAGUAAUCGUCUAGAAGACAAAAUCGAGUGCUUACUUGUCCAAAGUAUGAGCUUAAACAACUGCAGGUUGCAGCCAUGAUGGCCUGAUCAAUAAAUGAUCCCAAGUAUGAGAAAAUAAACAAAGCAAUGACAGCUUUAGCAGCAUAGCAUUUUAUCUUAGGUGAUUCUGAAUUGAAUAUUUAACAUGCACAAAACAGUUGAACACAGCUUUGGAACAUAGGUGACAUGAAUCUUAUCUAAAGCUUAGAUAAGUAUAUGAUAUGGUAGCAAACACAAGCACUUCUCUAUCCGAACAUGAAAGCAUGCUGAGGUUUCAUUUCACAGUAAAAACAUGACCCGUUACUCUUGUCUUCCAAUUACCGUGUAAGAAAAUAAUACAUACACCUAUAGUAAUAGAAAAGGUCUGUAUUAAAAAUCCCUUUUCGACUAAACACCAAAAGUCAAAACAGAAUAAGGCUUAUUUACCAUCAGCACAAUCAAACAACAGCAUCAAAUCAGUACAGUCUUAACACAAAGAGGAAAGAUUUAAAGGGAUUUCUUUAGCUCAUACUUGUCGCAUUGUAACAUGAAUAAAUGCGUUCCUCGCUGAAGGGGUUUUGACAAGCAUGUUUGAAGAAACUAAUUUAAUUGUGUAAUCAAGAAAAAAAGAAGCUCUACUUGCAUGUUGAAGCGUAAACAUGCUGUAUAAAGAAAAUAAAAAGCUGGGUCAGUGGUGGAAUGUUUGAUUUGUACAUAGAAAGAAAAAAGGCUUAAUUCCCAUUCAAGUCCAGUCGCAUAAAGUUUCAGAUAAAAGCGAU